rnacentral:misc_RNA from 1 species
GAUCCCACCCAUUUCGCCGUAUUCUCAGAUCCCGUUCUCUAGGCCAACAAGCCAGCAAAUGGUUUCUCAGAACUUUAGUCCAGGACCCACCCAUUCAAGAUCUUCAUCUCAGCCUUCAUUUUUUUCACUUGAUUCGCUGCCACCGUUAAGCCCGGCCCCUUUCCGUGACUCCUCUUCAACGUCUGCGUCUGACCCAGUAUCAGCUGAUGUGUCCAUGGAAGAAAGGGAUGCAAAUUCUCAUUCCCUAUUACCACCCUCAUCCAUUAAUAGGGGUAAUACUUCAAGAGUUGGUGAGAGCUUGCCUCCACGCAAGACACAUCGGAGGUCUAAUAGCGAUAUUCCAUUCGGGUUUACAAAUGUGAUGCAAUCUUCGCCUCCUCUCGUUCAGUUUAGGGGUUCAGGUGUGUUGGAGCGUUCAGUGUCUGGGAAAGAGAAUUCAGGGUUGGCUAAGCCAGCUCAGCUGGUGAAAAGAGAAUGGGAGAGAGGUGGUGAUAGCAUUAGCAAUGAUGAGGGGAUGGGUGAGAGGAAAUCUGAAGGUGAAACUGUGGAUGAUUUGUUUUCAGCUUAUAUGAAUCUGGAUAACAUUGAUGCGCUGAACUCUUCUGGAACUGAUGAUAAGAAUGGUAAUGAGAAUCAUGACGAUUUGGAUAGUAGAGCUAGUGGGACAAAGACUAAUGGAGGUGAUAGCAGUGAUAAUGAUGCAGAAAGCAGUGUGAAUGAAAGCGGUAGUAGUUUGCCAGGGGCAGGAUUGAGUUCUUCAACUGAGAAGAGGGAGGGGAUCAAAAGGACUGCAGGAGGUGAUAUUGCUCCAACCACCAGACACUACAGAAGUUUUUCAAUGGAUAGCUUAAUGGGCAAGUUGAACUUUGGUGAUGAGUCUCCAAAGCUGCCACCUUCACCUGGAACUCGCCCAGGACAACUAUCACCUAGCAAUUCAUUGGAUGGGAAUGCCUUCAGUUUGGAGUUUGGAAAUGGCGAGUUUAGUGGCGCUGAGCUUAAGAAAAUUAUGGCAAAUGAUAAACUUGCUGAGAUUGCAUUAACUGAUCCAAAGCGUGCAAAAAGGAUCUUGGCAAAUCGUCAAUCGGCUGCUCGUUCCAAAGAAAGGAAGAUGAGAUAUAUUUCAGAAUUGGAACACAAGGUUCAGACUCUGCAGACAGAAGCUACCACGCUCUCUGCCCAGCUUACUCUUUUACAGGUGGCGAUUCGGAGUACUUAAUUUUUUUUUUCUUGUCUCUAAUUUUUCCUCUUCUAAGUUCUCUUGUUAUUGCCUUCUAUAUUGCAUCCAGAGAGAUUCUGUUGGUCUUACAAACCAGAAUAAUGAGUUGAAGUUUCGUCUCCAAGCCAUGGAGCAACAGGCACAACUCCGAGAUGGUAUGGACAUUUUUCUCCCUCUUUUCUUACUUAAAUAAUCAAUAUUAUUCCACUGCAUUUAUAACGUUGUGGAAUAGGAAAUGGAUAAUUUUGUGUCAAAACAGAAUAGUUGAUGUUAGUGUGGUCUCACCUAGACCUGGCCAUUGGUCUGGUCUAGUCCAGGCUGGAAUAGGCAUUUAGGAUUGAGAAAGAAGAUGAACUGGGACUCGACUGGUUCUAGGCAGUUCGAGCCGAUUCCGGUUCAGGGCUGGUUCAUGCCCUUGAACAGAUGACCAGGCCUGGUUCGGGAUUUGACCCUGGUUGUCCUGGUCCGAUUCGGGGACUGAAUUGGCCCUUGGCCGGGUCUAGUCUUACCUAACAAUUGGUAAGCCCAACAGCUUGAAUUUUUAAUGGGAAAUUUAACUGUUCAUAUUCAGAAUUCCCCAACAUGAUACCAUGUUACAAAACCACUUGCUAUAAAAUCUUAAAGCUUGGACAAACAAAGUCUAGGAAUUUUAAAAUUGUGAACACAUUAUUAUGUGGAAUGCCACUCUAAGUUUUCAGUUUUCAUUGACACCUUUUUUAGCUAUUUAUUGUGAAAUCACUGAAGACUGAAGAUAACCUUUGGCGCAAGAACUCUGAGAUACUAAUGUCUUUUCCAAAGAAGACUCAAGUUGAUUUAAACUGGGAUACAGCAUUUUUAUGGUUUCCCUGUAACCUAUACAAGUGCAAUAAUAGUAAUAGGGAUUCUUUCAAAAAUAUAAUUAUUAGUAACAGGGAACAUAACCUCACCUCUCUCAAUAAUAAGAAAAAUAUCGUCUUAAUUUUGUGGAAUUCAUAUGAAGUUCUACAUACG